rnacentral:rRNA from 1 species
ACUCCUACGGGAGGCAGCAGUGGGAAUGAUUGCACAAUGGGCGGAAGCCUGAUGCAGCAACGCCGCGUGCGGGAUGACGGGCCUUCGGGUUGUGAAACCGCUUUCGCCUGUGACGAAGCGUGAGUGACGGUAAUGGGUAAAGAAGCACCGGCUAACUACGUGCCAGCAGCCGCGGUGAUACGUAGGGUGCGAGCGUUGUCCAAUAUU